rnacentral:lncRNA from 1 species
GUGCUAUAGCCUACGCCUUCCGAGUGGGACCGGGCCCCCCCGUACCCCGAUCGCCUAAACUUUUUCCGAGCCAUCAAAUACAACCUAAGGAACCAUAGUAACAGCCCAGCCAUGGCCGUUCCUCGUUGAUUUGCAUUUUACGGCCAAAAAACUAGAAUUCUGCCCGAUUCCCCUAUAUUCGGGUGCUAUAGCCUACGCCUUCCGAGUGGGACCGGGCCCCCCGUACCCCGAUCGCCUAAACUUUUUCCGAGCCUUCAAAUACAACCUAAGGAACCAUAGUAACCACCCAGCCAUGGCCGUUCCUCGUUGUUUUGCAUUUUACGGCCAAAAAACUAGAAUUUUGCCCGAUUCCCAUUUUUUGUGUGCUCUAGCCCACGCCUUCCGAGUGGGCCCGGGUCCCCCGAAAUCGGAUUGCCUAAAAUUUUUCCAGGCCAUCAAAUACGACCUAAGGAACCAUAGUCACUGCCCCGCCAUUGCCGUUCCUAGUUGUUUUGCGUUUUACGGCCAAAAAACAAGAAUU